rnacentral:sRNA from 1 species
CACCUCCUUUCAAAGCUCUUCCUCCUCUCUCUCAUUCUUUCACCUUUUCUACCCGCCUUGCCAUCGUUGUACGUGCCAGCAUUCAAAUUACCCUACACAAGAUCGGAUCAAUCAUCUGAAGGAGCUGCUCAAAGGAUGGAUGGCAAAACAGCAAGCAAACAUCACAAAACUUGUUGAGCUCUAGGAAAGUGGAGGACUCAAGGCACCAAGCUUUUGGCAGUGCGGAAGUUAUCGAUUAUGAGCCUGCUAUUGAAGAAAUAUGAGAAAGAGUCUCAUUACUAUUAUUAAGCUGAGAGAAUGAGAGAUUCAAAAGUGUGUUGAAGG